rnacentral:misc_RNA from 1 species
GAUGAAGAACGUAGCGAAAUGCGAUAAGUAGUGUGAAUUGCAGAAUUCAGUGAAUCAUCGAAUCUUUGAACGCACAUUGCGCCCCUUGGUAUUCCAUGGGGCAUGCCUGUUCGAGCGCCAUUUGUACCUUCAAGCUUUGCUUGGUGUUGGGUGUUUGUCUCGCCUUUGCGUGUAGACUCGCCUUAAAAUAAUUGGCAGCCGGCGUAUUGAUUUCGGAGCGCAGUACAUCUCGCGCUUUGCACUCAUAACGACAGCGUCCAAAAGUACAUUUUACACUCUUGACCUCGGAUCAGGUAGGGAUACCCGCUGAACUUAAGCAUAUCAAUAAGCGGAGGA